rnacentral:rRNA from 1 species
CCUACGGGAGGCUGCAGUGGGGAAUAUUGCACAAUGGGGGAAACCCUGAUGCAGCGACGCCGCGUGAGUGAAGAAGUAAUUCGUUAUGUAAAGCUCUAUCAGCAGGGAAGAAAAUGACGGUACCUGAGUAAGAAGCGCCGACUAACGACGUGCCAGCAGCCGCGGUAAUACGUAGGGGGCAAGCGUUAUCCGGAUUUACUGGGUGUAAGGGGAGGGUAGACGGCAGUGCAGGUCUGGAGUUAAAGGCGGGGGCUCAACCCCCGGACUGCUCUGGAAAGGGUACGGCUGGAGUGCAGGAGAGGUAAGUGGAAUUCCUAGUGUAGCGGUGAAAUGCGUAGAUAUUAGGAGGAACACCAGUGGCGAAGGCGGCUUACUGGACUGUAACUGACGUUGAGGCUCGAAAGCGUGGGGAGCAAACAGGAUUAGAUACCCGUGUAGUC